GAGCCGCCCUAGGGUCGGGUCACAUGACAUGGUCUUCGCGCCACUUUCGUAAAACCCCCUUUUCCUGCAGCGCCUGCUCCGGGCAUAAGCACGAGGGACCGGGACGCGUGGUGUGGAGAGCCGGGAGAUCCGUGCUGCCCUGUGGAAGGUGACUGGCCAUUGUGUCCCGGGAGCACGGCACCACUGUGGGAUGACUGUGCGGGUCACUGUGUACACAACCCAGGAUUGCUGACGACUAAUCCACAUCCUCUAUUUUGUUUGGGUGCAAAUCGCCUAAUGUAUUUGGCUACAAACUGAAAUUUGUACGGUAAUUGUGCCAAAAAGCUGCCUUGCUUGCUAAAGAUGGAUACACGCCUAUUUGAUCUCCAGCUGAUCGUGUUCAAUGCUCCCAAUCGGCUGAGCCUUCGUUACCCCUUGUGCGGUGGGGGGGUGGUAAGUGGCUCCUCUGGGGAUUGGGAAGCAAACUGUGCAGCACCUCCUGGUCCCAACAGUUAGCUGCAGGAGUGUUAUAAGCUGUUUAUCCGCUAGCGCUCCUGCAUCGGUACUGCAUACACGCCUAUGCAAUCAAUGGCAGUUCUCCCAAUAUCUGGAGAACAGAAAAUGAUUGCAUAGGCGUACACCCAGCUUUAGGGAGUGUAUCCUAACUCACAAAAUGAGUAACACAAAAAAGUUUCCAACCUGGGCAUCAAAUGUACAUUUGGUUCCCAGGCUGGAAACGCUUUUUUUGUUAAUGUAUUUGGCUGCAGUGAUAUGAUUUGAAGAUAGCCAGCCAUCUGAGCAAUAAUGACAAUGGAUGAAAACCUCAUUUUUGUGUAGACCUGGUCUCUUAAACCUGGAACAAGUACAGCCUUAACUCUUGCCCACUAGUAUUAACUUGUACCCCUUUUACACCAAAAUCCUGAGUACGGCCUAGGAAUUUGAACAUGGGUCAAUAACGGGUGGGACCUGGCUUCAGACCCUGUUUACACUGCACUUUGACACAGGUUGGCCCAGUUUAGUGAACCAGGGUCAGCCCUACUUUUCCCUAUGCAUGUCACUAAAAAUGCCUUUUCUGGCUACAUUUUUUAGGGUGAGGGUCAUGCUGAUUUUAUGGCUGCAGUUCAGGGUUUCGGGCUGCAGUUCAGGGUAAGACUCAAUCUGCAGGUCAGGCUGUGGAAGGUUAGGCAGGCUGUAUCUGGUGUUUACCAGCGAUGGCCACAUGUGCUGUCUUUCUCUGCAGGGCACUGACCGAUGACAUGUGCUAGCACUCCAGAAGGUCCAGUCACCACCGUCUUUCUGCGUUACCCCUGUCCAAUAACCCAGGUCAUGUCUGUUUAACCUGCCAUCGGAACCAGGGCCUUUUCAUGUUCAACCCUGGUAGAUUUCCAGGUUGGCUUGCUCCGUUUAUACUGAGCUCUGACCUGGUAAUAACCUGGGUUAUCCAGUUUGUGUGAAAGGGGUAUUAAUCUAUUGCCACAUGGUCUCUAGGGAAUUGAAUGUUUUAUCAAGCAUAUUUGUAGGUUGGAAAAUAGCUUUAAGCAUUUUCAUCUGUACCCAAAAAGAAACCAUUAGUCUGUCCUGAAGGGAACAUUUUUUGUUUUACUUAAAGCCCACAUUUAUGUGGUGACAGUGCUAUAUCUUCACUCUCUGUGGGUGGUGUAAUUUCCCAGUGCAAGUUAUUAAACAGUUAGUCAAAUAUACAAUUGGUGGACAAAAUUUUAUUGAAUGCAUGAUUUGUUCUGCACACCUGUAAUUAUUGGUCAGCUGAUAUGUACUAGUGAAAAUUGCUGAUAAAGUUGGUUAGACUGUGUACCAAAAUCUAAAAUAAGUUAACUUUGAUGUAAAAUCUUUGCUGUGAUGCUACAAUAAAAAACAAAUACCACUCUUCUGGGGCUAUUCAGUUGUCUUUCAGGUGUCAUCUACUACGUGGUGCCAGAUUGUAGUAAUUCUGUUCUGCCGUUUGGGCGUGAUAACUGGUUCUGAUUCUUCUGCUUGUAGAAUCCUGAGGUGGCUAGCAGGAAUGUGUAAAGUGACCUGUUUUGCAAGGACAACUCUAAACAGAAUUCACUGCUAUACAGUCUAUUUGGGCACUUGAAGUAAUGGGCACCUGAUCAGAGCAACAGUUGAAUUGCUCUGUACCUUUUUUGACCGCUAUGCUACUUUUUCUUGUGUUUGAACAUCUGCUACUGUUACUACAGUAUUAAAAAAAU